CACACUAAACAAUCUCCCAAAAUGAUGAUGCAAAUUUCGAGAAAGAGGCAGAAGUGAAUCAACGUAAAGUAGCUGAAAUCCCAAACUUUAAACCAUAGGUUUAAUAUGAGCUUGGGUCCUUCAGUUCAGCCAAAAACUUAAGAUUUGAGAUCUACAAUAUUACAAUAGGGAAAGAUAUAAAUAUAUUGAUUUGCAAUUCUAAGAUCUCUCCAUGCAGCAGGUAAAUGUUGAUGGUCUGGUGCUUAACUGGAAGAAAACUUAAAAUACAUUUUUUUCUUAAAGCUCUCACUGGCAAUAUUCCACAUAAUAUGUGUCAUUGUAAAGACAUUGCAUAUUGGUUGGCUAUUUGUCAUUACUACAGAAGAUUGGGCAAAUUCUAUGGUAUCAAUUGUUUCCUAUUGACCACUGCAUAUUUUAUACAUCCUUCCAGAUACCCAUAGAGUCCAUGAUAAAAUAUUUGCCUGAAAGGUGGAUUUUAAAGGCCAGAGAGUUUUCUAUUCAAAUUCUUCAUGAGCACACAUUUCCCAAGAUUGUUCUCUUCACCUAUUAUUUCAUAUGGUCCACUCUAGGAUCUGAAAAAUUCCAGCAGAAUGACCCUCCUCAUCAAUUAUGGAUUGACCCACUCUGUAGUUCUCACCACUUUUGAGGCCCACUCUGACUUGUCUCCUAUUCCUAAAACAAGUUCAUCAGAUUGGGAGAGGAGAGAAAAGGAAAUAGAGUGGAGUUCCUCAAAAUACUUAGAACAGUGCCUGAAGGACAUCAUCAACAGCCUUUGGAAAACUCCUUCCCAGGACAGUAGACAUUUUUUGUUGUUGUUGCAUUCCACACAAUCACCUUGCUCAAAAGAGCUGGAAAUGGAAUAUAUUAGCUUAUCCAUGAGUAGAAGUCUCACUGAAUAAUUAUAUGCCUCUCUGUUAUAAUUCCAUGGGAAAGCAUUCUUCAAGACCUCUUGCUUUUUUCUGGGGUACCCAAAGACCAGGGCCUAUGAAAUCCUAAGGGAAGUUAUAUUUUUGAUCAUUUGUAUUUUUAGGACUGCACCUGCAGCAUAUGCAGGGUCCCAGGCAAGGGGUCCAAUCAGAGCUACAGCUGCCAGCAUACACCACAGCUACAGGAACUCCAGAGCUGAGCCUCAACUGCAAGCUACAUCAGAAUUCAUGGCAAGCAACUCUGGAUCCUAAACACACUGAGCAAGGCCAGGGAUCAAACCCACAAUCUCAUCUUUCCAGUUGGAUUCUUUUCCAUUGUGUAAUGAUAAGAAAUCUUUGAGGGAAUUUCUUAUUUCUCAUCUUAGGAAAAUAUACAUAUUCUGAAAUAUUGGCAAGGAAAGAUUGCAUAAAAAUUUAGCCAAAAAAGAGCUGAGAUUUUUUCUGUCAUCUGAAAUACAAAACAAUCCGCAGAGAGAAAAAAGGAAAGCAAUAAAGGAAAGAAAGAAAUGUAUAAAACAAUUAAGAAAUAAUUAAAACCAAGUAAAGAAGCAAAAAUUUAAUAUUCUGCUCAGAAAUAUCUGACUCUGAAGGUGCUAUCAUGGUUUUCAAAUAUUUGGAUGAUGGGGAAGAAAUUAGAGAAAACAAAAGUCUAUAGUCAGUUUGUAGAAUGUGAAAAUGGCAAUGAAAUUGAUGAAAAGUUAGCACAAAACUGUGCUCUGUUCAUAAGCAUAGGAGCCAGGAAGCAAUAAGUGUUAAGUAUCUGAGGAUUGUGCUGUGCCAACAAAGGCAAAACACCAUUAGAACAGUGUGUAUAUGGAGAGGCGGAUUCCACAUCAAGUUGCCCUUCUAAAUGUGCUUCUGAAAAGAACCCUGACAUCUCUCUCUCUCCUGAUAGAACACAACAAGGGACCAAGCCCAAUUCAGGCCAAGCACAUUAGUGAGAUUCCAAUCACACAGCUCUUGGUUACAUAUGCUUGUGACUCAGGAAGUUCCUGAAGGCAUGUUGGGCAGCCAAGAUACCUGUAAAUACAGCUGUGCAUCUCCUGUCAGGUGAAUGGUCUCAACCAAGAGGACAAUAAAAAUUAUUCCAAGAAGGCAGCAUAAGAUUCUGUGCUGAAUCAUAACUUCAAUGUCAUCUUUCAUAUCAUACAGUAAUGUGGUGUAUGUCUGCUCAUCUAGGUUACUUAUGAUCAGCUCUCCCAUACCUUAGGACAUAUAGGGCCACAGAACUUUUGGAUUGAGAUGCCCAGGAUCUCUCUCUGCAGAAGGAUGAUGGAGAAGGUCUUGUGACAAUUUUCUUUCCAUGAGACAACAUGGAAAUCCCUCUGGUUUAUGGUUCAUUCUGGUCAUGUUCCACCCCGCCCCCUGUGCAGCUCAAUAAGUGUUUGAGGAUACUUGUCAUUCCAACAACAUGAAUGUACAUAUGAUUCAGUUAUUAUUAACCAUAUUAAUUCAACAUAGUACAUGAUGCCCUUUUGAAUCUUAGAAUAAAUUGUAUAAAAAGAUAUAAAAUAAUGACUAGUGAGCAUUAUCCAAUUCCUUUCUAAAUUUCUUGUGUUCUCCUCUGUCUCCAAGCAGUCUACUCUCAGGGCCAAAGGUUUUUGAAGAAUCUUCCUCCUUGGUAACUAUACAAUCACCGACUUGAUCCUAUGUUUUAAAUUGCAGAUGAACAAACUCUCUAAUUUUUAAGAACUCAACUCUGGGAGUUCCCGUCAUGGCGUAAUGGUUAAUAAAUCCAACUAGGAACCAUGAGGUUUCAGGUUCGGUCCCUGGCCUUGCUCAGUGGGUUAAGGAUCUGGCGUUGCCGUGAGCUGUGCUGUAAGUCGCAGUCGCGGCUCAGAUCCCACGUUGGUGUGGCUCUGGCACAGGCCAGCAGCUACAUCUCCAAUUAGACCCCUAGCCUGGGAACCUCCAUAUUCCAUGGGAGCGGCUCAAGAAAAGGCAAAAAGACAAAACAAACAAACAAACAACAAAAAAACCUCAACUCUGGUGAUUAACGGAAUAAAAUUAUUAUGAACCAUUUUGAUGUAUUGCAAAAGUUUUGAAUUGGGAAUAAAAUAGAACAUCACAUUUUUAUUUUUAGAUUUGUAUUUUCCUGUGUGAAUAUACACAUCCAUUUUCCCCUGUAAGAAUUCUUCAAAGGAGGAGGUAAGGGGAAAGAUAUUUCAUUUCCAGUGGUCAGCAUUAUAGCACUGCUUAUAUCAAGGUGUCUUUCACCACUGCAAUUCAUAGCUACAAGUCUUUCUAAGAGUGUGUGGUGAAACAAAGGACUGUCCCUUUGCAAUCACUUUGUGUUUAAUGUAGUAUAUAUAUGGAUAGGCCCAUGCAUAUAAAGAUAAAAUAUAUUUUUUAAUAUAGAGAUAUUAGCAAUUUACUAUCCUCACAAAAUAUCUGUCAAAUCCAUUCCAGUAAAAAAAAAUUUUGAUAUUUCCUCCAAACAGUGC
rnacentral:lncRNA from 1 species